rnacentral:rRNA from 1 species
AUGCUCCUUCUACUGGACUCUGGGAGCACCCACAGCUUCGUCAACAAGUCGUUCGUCGAGCGCGUUGGGGCGACAACGCAAGAGAUCGCCACAUUGGAUGUGCGGGUGGCCAACGGUGACCGACUAACCUGCUCGCGCCAAGUUUCGGAGCUCCAGUGGUGGAUGCAGGGCCACACGUUCUCGACGCCGAUGUACGAGCUCGACACAGGCGCAUACGAUGGAAUCCUAGGCAUGGACUGGUUGGAGAAGAACAGCCCAAUGACUUGCCACUGGCAGGAGAAAUUCAUCUCCUUCCUGCACGAGGGCGAGACAGUCAAGCUACAAGGUGUUCGUCCAAAGUCGACACCCACUCUCGCAGCGGUGCAACCAGCAGAACUAUGCAAGUUGAUCGCCGGCAAUGAUAUCUGGGCAAUGGCCAUGGUCGAGAUGCAGCCCCCCAAACCAAGACCACGCAAGCCCUCGCAGACGCCCAUCAACGAUCUCCUGGAAGAAUUCAGCGACGUGUUCACCGCACCCACCGGCUUGCCUCCUCACAGGCAGUAUGAUCACGCGGUCACAUUGGAAGAUGGAGCCCAGCCAACAAACACACGGCCCUACCGCUACUCUCCAUUGCAAAAGGACGAGAUUGAGCGGCAGGUCAAAGAAAUGCUCGACGCCGGUGUGAUCACGCACUCGGUCAGUCCAUACGCGGCGCCAGUUUUGCUUGUGAAGAAGGAUGGCACCUGGCGAUUCUGCGUGGAUUACAGGCGUCUCAAUGACGUGACCGUGAAGAACAAGUUUCCCUUGCCCGUCGUCGACGAGCUACUCGAUGAACUUGCCGGAGCGGCUUUCUUCUCCAAGCUUGACCUGCGCGCAGGCUACCAUCAAAUUCGCAUGCGUGAACAGGAUGAACACAAGACAGCAUUCAAAACUCACCACGGCCAUUUCCAAUUCAGAGUCAUGCCAUUCGGGUUGACAAAUGCUCCGGCCACGUUCCAAUGCCUGAUGAACGCUAUCUUCACCAAGUAUACCCGUAAGUUUGUCACCAUUUUUCUUGACGACAUCCUUGUUUUCAGUGAGACACUCGAGGACCACUUGGAACAUCUCCGCAUCGUCCUCAACUUGCUCCGCGAGCACCAGCUAUAUGCCAAGAUGUCCAAGUGCUCGUUCGCGCAAGAUCACAUUGAUUAUCUGGGUCACGUCAUCUCCAAGCAAGGCGUCGCGACUGAUUCUGAGAAGACAGACGCCAUGGCGCAGUGGCCUACUCCAACCAACGCCAUCGAGCUCCGUGGCUUCCUGGGGCUCACCGGCUAUUACCGCAAGUUCGUCCCCCACUACGGGAUCAUUGCCAAGCCGCUAACCCAGCAGCUCACCAAGAAAGGCUUUGCAUGGCCCGAGUCGGCGCAGCUCGCGUUCGACACGCUCAAGAAGGCGAUGGUGACCACGCCGGUGCUCGCCCUUCCCGACUUCGACAAGCCAUUCUCCAUCGAAACCGACGCCUGCGACACAGGCAUCGGUGCCGUGCUCGUCCAAGACGGUCACCCCAUCGCAUACUACAGCAAGGCGUUGGGCGUGAAGAACCAGAAGCUCUCCACCUACGAGAAAGAGUUCUUGGCCGUCAUGAUGGCCGUGGACAAAUGGCGCUCUUACCUGCAACGCGGGCCGUUCACCAUUGUCACGGACCACAAAAGCUUAUGCACGCUUGGGGACCAGCAUCUGGUGACCGAUGUCCAGCGCCGCGCCAUGUCCAAAUUGGUCGGCCUCCAAUUCAAGUUCCAGUACAAGAAGGGCGUCGACAAUAGCGCGGCGGAUGCUCUCUCUCGCGUGGGCAGUCACUACAGCGCCAAUGCUCUGUCCCUCUGCCAGCCAACAUGGAUUCAGGAAGUGGCCAAUUCGUAUGCCACGGAUCCAGAUGCCCAGGAAAAGAUUCAGCAGCUCGCGCUGCACAGUCCGGACGACGAGGAGUACGAGCUGUACCGUGGAGUCAUUCGCCGUCGCGGGCGGCUGUGGAUCGGCACAAACACAGCCCUGCGCACCAAACUGAUCAGCGCUCUGCAUGACAGUGCCGUGGGGGGCCAUUCUGGCUCGACAGCAACUUACCACCGAGUCAAGAAGCUGUUUGAGUGGAAGGGUUUGAAACAUGAUGUUGAAGAUUAUGUGCGGCAGUGCCAGAUUUGCCAACAGGCGAAGCAUGAAUUGCAUAAACCAGCGGGCAAGUUGGCACCCCUGCCCAUUCCGACAGCCCCGUGGCGUGAUCUGACAAUGGACUUCGUCGAGGGCUUGCCCAAGUCCGAAGGGUAUGACACGAUCAUGGUGGUUGUCGACCGCUUCACCAAGCUUGCACACUUUGUGCCCCUGCGACACCCAUUCACGGCGACACGGGUGGCAAGAGUGUUCUGGGACAACAUCGUCAAGCUGCACGGCAUCCCCUCCUCCAUCGUCUCCGACCGCGACAAAGUGUUCACCAGCGUGCUUUGGCGGGAACUGCUAGCCAGCGCGGGCACCAAGCUCCUCUACUCCACUGCCUAUCACCCCCAGACGGACGGACAAAGCGAGCGCGUGAACCAGUGCAUGGAGAUGUACUUGCGCUGCGCUGUUCACGACACUCCCACGCAAUGGUGUCGCUGGCUGCCCUCUGCAGAAUUCUGGUACAAGUCCUCUUUCCACUCUUCUCUGGGUUGCUCUCCGUUCAAGGCUCUGUAUGGGGUGGAUGCCAACGAGGGCAGCAUGGCAACAUGGCCGGCAACACAAGCAUCAUUGCCGGAAGGGGAGCAGUGGGAUUGGGCACUGCACAAGGAAAACUUGCAGGCACAGUUGACUCGGGCGCAACAGAAGUACAAAAAGUUUGCAGACAGAAAUCGCACUGAGCGCGUCUUUUAG